GACGAACGCUGGCGGCGUGCUUUCUUCUUGCAAGUCGAACGAUGAAGUUCCUUCGGGAAUGGAUUAGUGGCGAACGGGUGAGGAACACGUGAGAAACCUGCCUUUCAUUCUGGAAUAACACCGGGAAACCGGUGCUAAUACCGGAUACUCCGUCUUGGCGGCAUCGCCAAGCCGGGAAAAAAUUUUGAUGAAAGAUGGUCUCGCGGCCAAUCAGCUAGUUGGUGAGGUAAUGGCUCACCAAGGCGACAACGGGUAGCCGGCCUGAGAGGGCGACCGGCCACACUGGGACUGAGACACGGCCCCAAACUCCUACGGGAGGCAGCAGUAGGGAAUAUUGGGCAAUGGGCGCAAGCCUGACCCACCGACGCCGCGUGAGGGAUGAAGGUCUUCGGAUUGUAAACCUCUUUCAGUAGGGAAGAAGCGAAAGUGACGGUACCUAAAGAAGAAGCACCGGCUAACUAUGUG
rnacentral:rRNA from 1 species